rnacentral:rRNA from 1 species
GCGUGGAUAAGACAUGCAAGUCGCACGGAGUGCCUUCGGGCACUGAGUGGCGCACGGGUGAGUAACACGUGAGCGACCUGCCCCCGAGACAGGGAUAGCCCCGGGAAACUGGGAUUAAUACCUGAUGGUCUCGCAAGAGUAAAGCAGCAAUGCGCUCGGGGAGGGGCUCGCGGCCUAUUAGUUAGUUGGCGGGGUAACGGCCCACCAAGGCGAUGACGGGUAGCCGGUCUGAGAGGAUGUCCGGCCACACUGGAACUGUGACACGGUCCAGACACCUACGGGUGGCAGCAGUCGAGAAUCAUUCACAAUGGGGGCAACCCUGGUGGUGCGACGCCGCGUGGGGGAGGAAGGUCUUCGGAUUGUAAACCCCUGUCAUGUGGGAGCAAGGCGCAAGCUUGAUAGUACCACAAGAGGAAGAGACGGCAAACUCUGUGCCAGCAGCCGCGGUAAUACAGAGGUCUCAAGCGUUGUUCGGAAUCACUGGGCGUAAAGGGUACGUAGGCUGCCGCAUAAGUCGUGCGUGAAAGGCAGGGGCUCAACCCCUGGAGUGCGCAUGAUACUGUGUGGCUGGAGUAAUGGAGGGGGAACCGGAAUUCUUGGUGUAGCAGUGAAAUGCGUAGAUAUCAAGAAGAAGACUCGUGGCGAAGGCGGGUUCCUGGACAUUUACUGACGCUGAGGUACGAAGGCCGGGGUAGCGAAAGGGAUUAGAUACCCCUGUAGUCCCGGCAGUAAACGGUGCACGCUUGGUGUGCGGGGAAUCGACCCCCUGCGUGCCGGAGCCAACGCGUUAAGCGUGCCGCCUGGGGAGUACGGUCGCAAGAUUAAAACUCAAAGAAAUUGACGGGGACCCGCACAAGCGGUGGAGUAUGUGGCUUAAUUCGAUGCAACGCGAAGAACCUUACCAAGGCUUGACAUCCCGUGACCGCCUGUGAAAGCAGGUUUUUUCUUCGGAAACACGGAGACAGGUGCUGCAUGGCCGUCGUCAGCUCGUGUCGUGAGAUGUUUGGUUAAGUCCAGCAACGAGCGCAACCCCUGCUGCCAGUUACCAUCAUUAGGUUGGGGACUCUGGCGGGACUGCCCAGAUCAACUGGGAGGAAGGUGGGGACGACGUCAGGUCAGUAUGGCCCUUACGCCUUGGGCUGCACACGUACUACAAUGCCCAGUACAGAGGGAGGCGAGCGUGCGAGCGCGAGC